rnacentral:pre_miRNA from 1 species
GCACGAGGAUGAUGAUGAUGAUGAUGAUGAUGAUGAUGAUGGUGUCGAUGACUUUUAUCAACAUUAUCUGCAUCAUCAUCAUCAUCGUCAUUAACA